rnacentral:rRNA from 1 species
UACAGAGGUCUCAAGCGUUGUUCGGAUUCAUUGGGCGUAAAGGGUGCGUAGGCGGCGCGGUAAGUCGGGUGUGAAAUUUCGGAGCUUAACUCCGAAACUGCAUUCGAUACUGCGGUGCUUGAGGACUGGAGAGGAGAGCGGAAUUCCUGGUGUAGCGGUGGAAUGCGCAGAUAUCAGGAGGAACACCGGUGGCGAAGGCGGGUCUCUGGGCAGUAACUGACGCUGAGGAGCGAAAGCGUGGGGAGCGAACAGG